GACGGGUGAGUAAUGCCUAGGAAAUUGCCCUGAUGUGGGGGAUAACCAUUGGAAACGAUGGCUAAUACCGCAUGAUGCCUACGGGCCAAAGAGGGGGACCUUCGGGCCUCUCGCGUCAGGAUAUGCCUAGGUGGGAUUAGCUAGUUGGUGAGGUAAGGGCUCACCAAGGCGACGAUCCCUAGCUGGUCUGAGAGGAUGAUCAGCCACACUGGAACUGAGACACGGUCCAGACUCCUACGGGAGGCAGCAGUGGGGAAUAUUGCACAAUGGGCGCAAGCCUGAUGCAGCCAUGCCGCGUGUGUGAAGAAGGCCUUCGGGUUGUAAAGUACUUUCAGUCGUGAGGAAGGCGGUGUCGUUAAUAGCGGCAUUGUUUGACGUUAGCGACAGAAGAAGCACCGGCUAACUCCGUGCCAGCAGCCGCGGUAAUACGGAGGGUGCGAGCGUUAAUCGGAAUUACUGGGCGUAAAGCGCAUGCAGGUGGUUUGUUAAGUCAGAUGUGAAAGCCCGGGGCUCAACCUCGGAAUUGCAUUUGAAACUGGCAGACUAGAGUACUGUAGAGGGGGGUAGA
rnacentral:rRNA from 1 species